UACGUAGGGUGCGAGCGUUAAUCGGAAUUACUGGGCGUAAAGCGUGCGCAGGCGGUUCGUUGUGUCGGCGGUGAAAGCCCCGGGCUUAACCUGGGAAUGGCCGUUGAAACUGGCGAACUGGAGUGUGGCAGAGGGGGGUGGAAUUCCGCGUGUAGCAGUGAAAUGCGUAGAGAUGCGGAGGAACACCGAUGGCGGAAGGCAGCCCCCUGGGCUAACACUGACGCCUCAGGCACGAAAGCGUGGGGAGCGAACAGGA
rnacentral:rRNA from 1 species